GAUGAACGCUGGCGGCGUGCCUAAUACAUGCAAGUCGAGCGAACAGAUAAGGAGCUUGCUCCUUUGACGUUAGCGGCGGACGGGUGAGUAACACGUGGAUAACCUACCUAUAAGACUGGGAUAACUUCGGGAAACCGGAGCUAAUACCGGAUAACAUAUUGAACCGCAUGGUUCAAUAGUGAAAGGCGGCUUUGCUGUCACUUAUAGAUGGAUCCGCGCCGCAUUAGCUAGUUGGUAAGGUAACGGCUUACCAAGGCAACGAUGCGUAGCCGACCUGAGAGGGUGAUCGGCCACACUGGAACUGAGACACGGUCCAGACUCCUACGGGAGGCAGCAGUAGGGAAUCUUCCGCAAUGGGCGAAAGCCUGACGGAGCAACGCCGCGUGAGUGAUGAAGGUCUUCGGAUCGUAAAACUCUGUUAUCAGGGAAGAACAAAUGUGUAAGUAACUGUGCACAUCUUGACGGUACCUGAUCAGAAAGCCACGGCUAACUACGUG
rnacentral:rRNA from 1 species